rnacentral:rRNA from 1 species
CUUUUGUAUAAUGGGUCAGCGACUUAUAUUCUGUAGCAAGGUUAACCGAAUAGGGGAGCCGGAGGGAAACCGAGUCUUAACUGGGCGUUAAGUUGCAGGGUAUAGACCCGAAACCCGGUGAUCUAGCCAUGGGCAGGUUGAAGGUUGGGUAACACUAACUGGAGGACCGAACCGACUAAUGUUGAAAAAUUAGCGGAUGACCUGUGGCUGGGGGUGAAAGGCCAAUCAAACCGGGAGAUAGCUGGUUCUCCCCGAAAGCUAUUUAGGUAGCGCCUCGUGAAUUCAUCUCCGGGGGUAGAGCA